rnacentral:rRNA from 1 species
UACGAGGGGGGCAAACGUUGUUCGGAAUUAUUGGGCGUAAAGAGCUCGUAGGCGGUUUGUCGCGUCUGCUGUGAAAACGCGAGGCUCAACCUCGCGCCUGCAGUGGGUACGGGCAGACUGGAGUGCGGUAGGGGAGAUUGGAAUUCCUGGUGUAGCGGUGGAAUGCGCAGAUAUCAGGAGGAACACCGAUGGCGAAGGCAGAUCUCUGGGCCGUAACUGACGCUGAGGAGCGAAAGCGUGGGGAGCGAACAGG